rnacentral:rRNA from 1 species
AACGAACGCUGGCGGCAUGCCUAACACAUGCAAGUCGAACGAGACCUUCGGGUCUAGUGGCGCACGGGUGCGUAACGCGUGGGAAUCUGCCCUUGGGUUCGGAAUAACUCGCCGAAAGGCGUGCUAAUACCGGAUGAUGUCGUAAGACCAAAGAUUUAUCGCCCAGGGGUGAGACCCGCGUAAGAUUAGGUAGUUGGUUAGGUAAAGGACGUCACCAACGACCGACCGAUCUUUAGUCUGGUCGUCGAGAGGAUGAUCAGCCACACUGGGACUGAGACACGGCCCAG